UCGGAUCAACCUUCUCUUGUUUUGGAAACCCUCCAAAACAAAAUAAUUACUCACAAGAUAAAAUCAGUUUAGAGCACAAAUAAGUACAAGAAUAGCUCCUUAAAUGAGCGAGAAUAACAAUAAAUACGCUUUACUCAAAGGAAGAAGCCCUUCUUUGAUUUCCUCAAAAUGGAUGAGAAAAGGAAUAAAAGCUUGAGGAGUUGGUGAGCUUUGAUUGAAGGCUUCUUGAAGGCUUUAAAUGAGCUCUUGAAUGAGGUUGAGAAGUUGGCUUGAGAAACCCUCUCUU
rnacentral:lncRNA from 1 species